GACGAACGCUGGCGGCGUGCCUAAUACAUGCAAGUAGAACGCUGAAGGAAGGAGCUUGCUCUUUCUGGAUGAGUUGCGAACGGGUGAGUAACGCGUAGGUAACCUGCCUGGUAGCGGGGGAUAACUAUUGGAAACGAUAGCUAAUACCGCAUAAAAUUGAUUAUUGCAUGAUAGUCAAUUAAAAGGUGCAACUGCACCACUACCAGAUGGACCUGCGUUGUAUUAGCUAGUUGGUGGGGUAACGGCUCACCAAGGCGACGAUACAUAGCCGACCUGAGAGGGUGAUCGGCCACACUGGGACUGAGACACGGCCCAGACUCCUACGGGAGGCAGCAGUAGGGAAUCUUCGGCAAUGGACGGAAGUCUGACCGAGCAACGCCGCGUGAGUGAAGAAGGUUUUCGGAUCGUAAAGCUCUGUUGUAGAGAAGAACGAGUGUGAGAGUGGAAAGUUCACACUGUGACGGUAUCUUACCAGAAAGGGACGGCUAACUACGUG
rnacentral:rRNA from 1 species